GCCCUUCCCUGUCAGGGACAGUCAAGGCGUUAGGGCUGAAGCUGCUGUGCGUCCCUGCUGCUGUUUAUCACUUUUGGAAUCCGCCUGUUACAUCACGCAAGGACACACACCCUCUGCAGUGUCUGCGGGGGGUAUUUAGAAAUUCUGCUAAACCACAGCUUUACAAAAGUUCCACCUGCUAAUCCCUUGAAGACAAGAUGCUUAUGGGAAGGAAGAGAAGUCAAGUCUGCUCCGUGGAGAAAAAUUAGCUUUAGAUCCUGAAAGAAAUCUGUGAACAAGUGCUUAGAUUCCUUUUCAUAAUUGUGUAUUCAGUGAUGGUGGACCCUCACAAAUGAGAUGGACAACCCUCCCAUUUUGAGUUCUAAAAUAAAGUCAAGGAGGUUAUGAAUCGGAGAAGUCUGAGGGAUGAUCUGCCUCUGCUCACAACAAGAGGAAAAAGCUUCCAUUGUGCAAGCUCUCUCUUCAGGUGCUGCCUCUGGUUGUCUUCCUGUGACCUUUGGUUAUCUGACUCAGCUGCAGGCCAGAGUCUUCAGAGUGCUGCGACAUGGACAUGUGACUGGAGACCAAUCACACUGCCACAGUUUUGAGGCACAGAUUUACAGGAAUACCCUGAGUCAGCCUUUGCCAUACGACUCUGUUAAUUGAAAGCCUUCAGUAAUAUUUGAGGUAAGCCAAAUGAUGUCCAAUAUAAACCUUCUCCCAUGUAGUAUUUUGUGCAAUCCCACCAUGUAGCACAUUGCAGGGAAAAUGGCUAACACACACACACACACAGGAGCUGUCCAACUGAUCAGAAAAAGAAAACAAAAUGUAUCAUGAGAAAUAUUAAGAAUGUUAAUUAUUCACGUUAUAACAAAUAUGCUGGAGCGGAUUGUUUAUGACUACCUGGUGAAAUGAAUUCCAUACAAAAAAAAUCCAUCCACCUUGAAAGGAUGAUAUUGUUGUAAAGGAAAGCACCCCAAAGUAAGGAAAUGCAGAAUCUACCUUAAUGCUGGCAACUUUAAGUUUGCUUCCCUCUGCAUAAACAUUAAGAACAGGUCUUUAAUUAUAUAAUCAUAUUUUAUUUUCAACAGGACCCUUAAGAAAGAAUAUCAAUCUCCUGCAGAGAAUUUUCCCUUGUAAGGACUUGGAACAAAUAUUUUAUAGUAAUAUGAUCAACAAGUCAAUUACAGGUUAUGUAGAAAAGCAUUCCUUUCAUCAGUUUUAAAUGGAUUGCUUUCGUUUUACAGUG